UGGGGAAUAUUGCACAAUGGGCGCAAGCCUGAUGCAGCAACGCCGCGUGAACGAUGAAGGUCUUCGGAUCGUAAAGUUCUGUUGCAGGGGAAGAUAAUGACGGUACCCUGUGAGGAAGCCCCGGCUAACUACGUGCCAGCAGCCGCGGUAAUACGUAGGGGGCUAGCGUUAUCCGGAUUUACUGGGCGUAAAGGGUGCGUAGGUGGUCUUUCAAGUCGGUGGUUAAAGGCUACGGCUCAACCGUAGUUAGCCUCCGAAACUGGAAGACUUGAGUGCAGGUGAGGAAAGUGGAAUUCCCAGUGUAGCGGUGAAAUGCGUAGAUAUUGGGAGGAACACCAGUAGCGAAGGCGGCUUUCUGGACUGCAACUGACACUGAGGCACGAAAGCGUGGGUAGCAAACAGG
rnacentral:rRNA from 1 species